UGUCGUCAGCUCGUGUCGUGAGAUGUUGGGUUAAGUCCGUAACGAGCGCAACCCUUGUCCUUAGUUACCAGCACGUUAUGGUGGGCGACUCUAAGGAGACUGCCGGUGACAAACCGGAGGAAGGUGGGGAGUGACGUCAAGUCAUCAUGGCCCUUACGGCCUGGGCUACACACGUGCUACAAUGGUCGGUACAAAGGGUUGCCAAGCCGCGAGGUGGAGCUAAUCCCAUAAAAACCGAUCGUAGUCCGGAUCGCAGUCUGCAACUCGACUGCGUGAAGUCGGAAUCGCUAGUAAUCGUGAAUCAGAAUGUCACGGUGAAUACGUUCCCGGGCCCU
rnacentral:rRNA from 1 species